rnacentral:lncRNA from 1 species
UCUCAUCCAGAGAGCCAGGCUGUUUCCAAGAGCGAGGGUACAAGGAGAUAAAGCAUUUGUCCUUAUUUUGUUUUAAAAUUCUGCCUUUUGAAGCAGGAGCUUGAAAUUUGGCAAGUAGGGAAGGGAGAGAGGCUGAGAUUUGUCUCGUGUCCCUGGAAUAUACUCAAAUUUGACCAAGUCAGAACACUUUAUUUGGGAAAAAAUGCACUUAGCACACACUGGCCGUGGAAGUGGGCCCUGCUCGGAGGUGCAGGUCCCCCCCUGCAUUUCCCACCCAGGUGGCACCAGGGGACAUCUGGGGAUGCUGGUGCUUCUUCCCCGGUGCUGCUCUUUGCUCGGCUCCCACAGCAGCAUGGCAGUGCUGGCUUCCCAGAUCAAUCUUCAUGGCUGCAUGGCGUGGCUGCGGCUGUGCUUGCUGAGCCCAUAGGACCUGAUGGAAGCCGUGGCUUCCCAAGUGAUUGGCCUGAGGCAGCCUGCAGACAGCUUUUUUUCUCUUGUCCCUCAACAAACCAGCCUCAAUCACACAUGUAUAAUGAAGCAGAGAGUUUAACCAGCCCUGCGGUGAAGCCAUGCUCUGCGCUGAUGGACACUGGCAGUGCAAACUGCCCAAACCCAGGGUGCUGCAGGAAGGGACACUGUGAGUGUGGCCCCUCUGCUGCUGCCCCCCGUGCUCUACUCCCUGUCCCCAUCACUGCCACGGGCACAGAGAUGCUGGCAGGAGCAGGAGCCGGGGCUGCCGGGCAGCUCCUUGGCAGUGAUAGGCACCCAGCAAUGAAAGGAAAUGGCCAACAGAUGCUGGAGAGAAGGCUGCCAGAGUGCUCACGAUGGUUCGGAGCCCAACCGUAGGGCUGUAUGAUGCUGGUUGGCAUCACUCACCUCCCUGCCAGCACUGCCACCACUUUCCGGUGCCUGCUGGCCCGGCUGGCACCUUCCUGCCUGCAGGGCAGGGACCUUGCUGCUCUGCCCAGCCUGGAGCACCACCAACACCAACCACCAACACCAGCUGUUGGACAAGUCACUUUGUUGCAGGUCACUGCUUG